rnacentral:lncRNA from 1 species
GUGACGUAGUCGAUGUUGUUUGUGGAGGCACCUUGGGAAUCUUCAUUGCUAGGCAGAGAUCGUCGAUGAGAGUAUUUUGAAAGGGGUAAAAAUAAAAUUUAAAUAUUUUCUUUCACAUUUUCGCAAUUUUUGUAAUAUUUUUGAUAAUUCGUUUUUUCAUGGUGGUCAGAGGGAGCAUGAGUAGAAUAUAUCAAGAAAGGAGCUUUUGGAGUUUGUUCUAAUUUGUUCGUGUUCCUUAUACCAGCUUCAAUCCUAUAUCUUAUCUCAUUUUCCUCUAAUUACAAUUGAUUAUGCUGGAAAGAUUCUUGAAUAAUGUCAUCUGAUGAUGUAUAUAAUUUAUAUAAACUUUGCAGAUGUGGAUUUGAAGGCAAGGGUGAAAUUUGGUUUAAAGGUAUCCUCAAUUUUGAUUCUUCUUUUAUAUUUUACAAUUUAUCCAUUCAACUUUACUUUAAGCUCUAUUACAAUGUUGUAUUUUACCUUAUGUGGAAGUUAUAGAAAACUCAAAAUUAUUUGGAUCCCACAACUUAAUAUUCAGAGCAACACUAAACUAAAGGGUGAGAAUGCCACUAAACUGAAGAUACAUUUUUUAAGCAUUAUUGUUUCUUUCUGAUUAUACAUUUUGUGUCAUUCAAUUUGACUUAAAAUAGGACGAAAGACUUCAUAAGCAAGCUUGUUACCGAAUUGAACAUUGUUGCAUUGGA